UACGUAGGGUCCAAGCGUUAUCCGGAAUUACUGGGCGUAAAGCGUACGCAGAUGGCGUGAUAGGUGAGUUGUGAAAUCUUGUGGCUCAACCAUAUAGACUAUGACUCAAACCAUCACACUAGAGGUUGGUAGAGGCAAGCGGAAUUCCCGGUGUAGCAGUGACAUGCGUAGAUAUCGGGAGGAACACCAAUGGCGAAGGCAGCUUGCUGGGCCACACCUGACGUUAAGGUACGAAAGCGUGGGGAGCGAACGGG
rnacentral:rRNA from 1 species